CCUACUCACAUUUUCCCAUAUGGUGACUUUGGAAAAUUCCUCUCCGAUUUCGUUGGGAAGUGCAGGAAACUCUCGUUGGUAGAGGGUUGCCUGUUACUCUCUCUUAAUUCUGCUGCUCACAUCUGGAAAGGAUCUGGCUUGGAAAGGGGAGACUCGCUCUGAGCUCAGCGCAUGUAACUGACAUGGCAUGAGCCGCGGGAGCCUGUGGGGGCAAGAGAAAUGUUCUUCUCCAUUCAUCUGAUUUCUGACAGCAAAGGUGAGUUUUUCAGCACUUUAUUUGUUCUUUCACAAGCUGUAUUGUCAGACAACACCCAGCAGCCUGCCUUUCAGCUGCAGCUUUUAGAAAGGAUAUUCAGUGUAAGUUACAAACUCACUUAACCUGUUGAUUUUGGAGGAGAGGAUGUUUUCGCAUCUCUGUGUGUGUCCUGACAGAAUAUGCUUAGAGAAUAGUACCGAGGUGAGAUACUUUGGACAUGAUUUUGUUGUUUAUUGAGGUAACUGUGAUCACUGAAAGUAUACAGUAACUCCUGAAACUUCAGCUUACUUCUUGAGACAGUGCCUUUUGUAGCGCUCUGCUUCUGGUGCUGUGUGGCAGCGAAGUGCAGGAACAAGUAGUGGUUCUGUCUAGACUCUGAAAGAUGCAACCUCGGAGCUGGUUUCAGUGCAGCUUCUGUCCUUGGGUGGAAGGACCUGAUCCAAACCUCACUGGCAGCAAGGGAAGAGGGCUGAUUGUUUCAUUCAGUGUCUCCCUGUGGCACCAGAGCAGCAUGCACUUCAAAGGCAUUGUAGCAGAAGCAUGCAUAUUGAUGACAACGGGGUGAGAUUGCCUCAGAAAUCUUACUGUGCCAUAGAUACAGUAUUUCAUGGUAAUUUUUUAACAUCUCUUCACCUCUGUAUUUGGAAAAGUCAGAUUGUUGAAAAUCUCUGGAGCCGAAUACCAACCAUGAUGUAACUGUGCUGUAGGAACAGUGUUGGUAUUGUUUGUGGGAGGGCUGGUUGUGACCUGCAUAUAAAAAGAGCUUUUUUCUUUAGUUUCUUUUGUAAGUAUCUAUAAGGGUAAGCUGAUAUGUAUAAAAAAUACUUCCUUAGAAAUGUGAUAGAUCAUAGUUUCUGAGAUUAUUUCCUCUAAAAUUUCUGAGAUUAGGUCACCAAAUAGUGAGGAUUUUACUAAUCCACUGUUGGCAUACUCACAUGGCUAAUUUUGAUCUCACUAUUAAUAUCUAGCUGCCAUAUAUGGAACACCAUGUGAUCCCUGUAAUGUUUUAUAAAGGAGAUUAAUUUCACUAUAUUCAGCUUUUACAGAUACAGAAGCUGUGGAAUAGUGGAGAAGGGAGAGGAGGGAUCAAGUAAGCAGUGUUAAAUGCUUAAAAGCACCCAGCAUGCUGGUAGCAAAGAUCAGGGCCAAAGCAAAACCAUCCAUGAAUCAGGAUGCUCUGUCCUGUAGUGCCACCUUCUCCCCUUUCUUCAAGUAUAGAGCAGUGUUUAAAGAAGUUAUUUAAGAUGUUCAUGACUGUGACUGAGAGCAAGGGCUCUCCUAUGCUUCCCAAGCACCCACAGUCUUUGCACAGCUGCAGCUGGUGCGAAGCAGCAAAGCCCUGUGGAUGUG
rnacentral:lncRNA from 1 species